UUCUUCACCCCUACACACAGUUACUUGCAUAAUUGACGUUAUUCAGUAGCUGCUAUAUCUUGAAAAAUUUCAACUAGGCUUCAAUCCCUUGAUUGAGGAUUGUGAUGGUAUCUUUGUUAUGCCAUCCUGUUUUCCUAGUAAUUCAAUCCAGACUCAGCAUGUAGUUUGAUAUGGAAGCUUUAUAUCAGUUCUUGUCCUGUUGCUUAUGAUUAUGGGAGAAAAAAGAAAAUAAGCUGAAAGUUUGACCCUUAGUUUUGGUUGUUGAUGCAGUGGCAAGUCGGUUGAGGUUAAGCCUGUUAUCAGUGCAGCAGAAUGUGUUAUUGUAAGUUGGAGAAAAUCUAUUGGUAUAGAAUUGAAACUAUUUAUGACGAUUGCUUGAUAUGUUCCAUUUUUCUCUUAGAUUAAUAGAGCUCUAUUUCUAUUCUAAAGAAAACGUGAAUUAGAGCUCUAUUUUCUGCAGCAUGCAUCAUAAUUCAUAAACGUAUAUUAGCCCUGAUUAUGCCACUUUAACCUAAAAAUUCUCAGGAUCUGUUAUUUGCAUGAGAUUAAAUGGUCAUAAGAUGCCCCAUACAUUAGGAAUCAGAUUCUAGUGGUUUCUGACUUAUUUGAUAUUUGCAUCUGAUGAGAUCAGUUUCACGUCUAGGAAAAAUUUGUGUUUGGGAAAAUUAUGUUCAAACUUCCAGUUUCAUGAAAUGCUCCAUUCAUAUAAUUCCUAAACUAAGAUUUCGAUUAAUUACUAGUUUCAGUUAUACAAUAGCAGUUAACUUUUGAGCCACUUAACUUUCUGUGCUGUAUUUAUGACAGG
rnacentral:lncRNA from 1 species